rnacentral:lncRNA from 1 species
AUGCUUUUAUACUCCUUAACAAGUACACAUUGGCACAUAAAUUGGAAGAUUCAAGCAAAGGACCACAGAAAAACACUUCUUCAAAAGCAUCCCCUUCUGAACCACAUUAAUUCUUUUUGGGGAAAAAUAAAGAACAAUAAAACAGUUGUUUGCAUUUCUACCAUGGCAAUACAAUACUUCCAAGAGAACAGGGGUAGAAUCUUCCAAUCCUUUAUAAAUCUUACUCCCAAAACUGGCAAAAUGACACUGUGA